rnacentral:rRNA from 1 species
AGUCAAGUAAUUAAGUGCAUGUGGUGGAUGCCUUGGCAGUCAGAGGCGAUGAAAGACGUGAUAGCCUGCGAAAAGCUCCGGGGAGGCGGCAAAUAUCCUUUGAUCCGGAGAUGUCUGAAUGGGGGAACCCACCUACUUUAAGGUAGGUAUUGCAACAUGAAUACAUAGUGUUGCAAGGCGAACGAGGGGAAGUGAAACAUCUCAGUACCCUUAGGAAAAGAAAUCAAUUGAGAUUCCCUCAGUAGCGGCGAGCGAACGGGGAUCAGCCCAUUAAGUUAUGUGUGUUUUAGUGGAACGCUCUGGGAAGUGCGAACGUAGAGGGUGAUAUUCCCGUACACGAAAGGGCACACAUAAUGAUGACGAGUAGGGCGAGGCACGUGAAACCUUGUCUGAAUAUGGGGGGACCAUCCUCCAAGGCUAAAUACUCCUGACUGACCGAUAGUGAACCAGUACCGUGAGGGAAAGGCGAAAAGAACCCCUGUGAGGGGAGUGAAAUAGAUCCUGAAACCGCAUGCAUACAAGCAGUGGGAGCACCUUCGUGGUGUGACUGCGUACCUUUUGUAUAAUGGGUCAGCGACUUAUAUUCAGUAGCAAGGUUAACCGUAUAGGGGAGCCGUAGAGAAAUCGAGUCUUAAUAGGGCGUUUAGUUGCUGGGUAUAGACCCGAAACCAGGCGAUCUAUCCAUGAGCAGGUUGAAGGUUGGGUAACACUAACUGGAGGACCGAACCCACUGUCGUUGAAAAGCCAGGGGAUGACUUGUGGAUAGGGGUGAAAGGCUAAUCAAGCCUGGUGAUAGCUGGUUCUCCCCGAAAGCUAUUUAGGUAGCGCCUCGGACGAAUACCAUAGGGGGUAGAGCACUGUUUCGGCUAGGGGGUCAUCCCGACUUACCAAACCGAUGCAAACUCCGAAUACCUAUGAGUACUAUCCGGGAGACAGACUGCGGGUGCUAACGUCCGUAGUCAAGAGGAAAACAAUCCAGACCGCCAGCUAAGGCCCCAAAAUCAUAGUUAAGUGGGAAACGAUGUGGGAAGGCAUAGACAGCUAGGAGGUUGGCUUAGAAGCAGCCACCCUUUAAAGAAAGCGUAAUAGCUCACUAGUCGAGUCGGCCUGCGCGGAAGAUGUAACGGGGCUAAAACUAUGUGCCGAAGCUGCGGAUGUAUACUUUGUAUACGUGGUAGGGGAGCGUUCUGUAAGCCGAUGAAGGUGUGUUGAGAAGCAUGCUGGAGGUAUCAGAAGUGCGAAUGCUGACGUGAGUAACGACAAAACGGGUGAAAAACCCGUUCGCCGAAAGACCAAGGGUUCCAGUCCAACGUUAAUCGGGGCUGGGUGAGUCGACCCCUAAGGCGAGGCCGAAAGGCGUAGUCGAUGGGAAAAUGGUUAAUAUUCCAUUACUUCUGUGUAAUGCGAUGAGAGGACGGAGAAGGCUAAAUCAGCCUGGCGUUGGUUGUCCAGGUGAAAGGAUGUAGGCAUGUAUCUUAGGCAAAUCCGGGGUACUCUAUGCUGAGAUCUGAUAGCAAGCUGUACUUGUACAGCGAAGUGGUUGAUGCCAUGCUUCCAGGAAAAGUCUCUAAGCUUCAGUUACACAGGAAUCGUACCCGAAACCGACACAGGUGGUCAGGUCGAGUAGACCAAGGCGCUUGAGAGAACUCUGCUGAAGGAACUAGGCAAAAUGGUACCGUAACUUCGGGAGAAGGUACGCUGUUGUUGGUGAUGGAACUCGCUUCCUGAGCUGACGACAGCCGCAGAAACCAGGCCGCUGCAACUGUUUAUUAAAAACAUAGCACUCUGCAAACACGAAAGUGGACGUAUAGGGUGUGAUGCCUGCCCGGUGCUGGAAGGUUAAUUGAUGGGGUUAGCGUAAGCGAAGCUCUUGAUCGAAGCCCCAGUAAACGGCGGCCGUAACUAUAACGGUCCUAAGGUAGCGAAAUUCCUUGUCGGGUAAGUUCCGACCUGCACGAAUGGCAUAAUGAUGGCGGCGCUGUCUCCAGCAGAGGCUCAGUGAAAUCGAAAUCGCUGUGAAGAUGCAGUGUACCCGCGGCUAGACGGAAAGACCCCGUGAACCUUUACUGCAGCUUGACACUGAACUUUGACCUUACUUGUGUAGGAUAGGUGGGAGGCUUUGAAGCUGGAACGCUAGUUCCAGUGGAGCCGUCCUUGAAAUACCACCCUGGUAAUGUUGAGGUUCUAACUCUGUCCCGUGAUCCGGGACGAGGACCGUGUCUGGUGGGUAGUUUGACUGGGGCGGUCUCCUCCUAAAGAGUAACGGAGGAGUACGAAGGUGCGCUCAGCGUGGUCGGAAAUCACGCGUAGAGUAUAAAGGCAAAAGCGCGCUUAACUGCGAGACCCACAAGUCGAGCAGGUACGAAAGUAGGUCUUAGUGAUCCGGUGGUUCUGUAUGGAAGGGCCAUCGCUCAACGGAUAAAAGGUACUCUGGGGAUAACAGGCUGAUACCGCCCAAGAGUUCAUAUCGACGGCGGUGUUUGGCACCUCGAUGUCGGCUCAUCUCAUCCUGGGGCUGAAGCAGGUCCCAAGGGUAUGGCUGUUCGCCAUUUAAAGAGGUACGCGAGCUGGGUUUAGAACGUCGUGAGACAGUUCGGUCCCUAUCUACCGUGGGCGCUGGAAAUUUGAGAGGAUCUGCUCCUAGUACGAGAGGACCAGAGUGGACGAACCUCUGGUGUACCGGUUGUGACGCCAGUCGCAUCGCCGGGUAGCUAUGUUCGGAAGGGAUAACCGCUGAAAGCAUCUAAGCGGGAAGCCUACCUCAAGAUAAGAUUUCCCUAGGACUUUAUGUCCUCUAAAGAGCCGUUCGAGACUAGGACGUUGAUAGGUUGGGUGUGGAAGCAUAGUGAUAUGUGAAGCUGACCAAUACUAAUUGCUCGUGAGGCUUGACUAU